rnacentral:rRNA from 1 species
UACGUAUGGUGCGAUCGUUGUUCGGAAUCACUGGGCAUAAAGCGUACGCAGGCGGUGGUGUAAGUCAGCCGUGAAAAACCCCGGCUCCACCGAGGAACUGCAGCUGAUACUGCAUCGCUCGAGGGUGGGAGGGGGGAACGGAAUUCCUGGUGGAGCGGUGAAAUGCGUAGAUAUCAGGAGGAACGCCGGAGGCGAAAGCGGUUCUCUGGCCCGCUACUGACGCUGAGGUGCGAAAGCUAGGGGAGAAAACAGG